AUUGAACGCUGGCGGCAGGCCUAACACAUGCAAGUCGAACGAGUGGCGGACGGGUGAGUAAUGUCUGGGAAACUGCCUGCUGGAGGGGGAUAACUAAUGGAAACGGUAGCUAAUACCGCAUACUAUCAGAAGUGCCCAGAUGGGAUUAGCUUGUUGGUGGGGUACCGGCUCACAAAGGCGACGAUCCCUAGCUGGUCUGAGAGGAUGACCAGCCCAACUGGAACUUAGACACGGGUCAGACUCUGACGGGAGGCAGCAGUGGGGAAUAUUGCACAAUGGGUGCAAGCCGUAUGCAGCCAUGCCGCGUGUAUGAAGAAGGCCUUCGGGUUGUAAAGUACGUGCAGCGGGGAGGGGUUACCCGCAGAAGAAGCACCGGCUAACUCCGUGCCAGCAGCCGCGGUAAUAC
rnacentral:rRNA from 1 species